rnacentral:rRNA from 1 species
GACGAACGCUGGCGGCGUGCCUAAUACAUGCAAGUAGAACGCUGAAGGAGGAGCUUGCUUCUCUGGAUGAGUUGCGAACGGGUGAGUAACGCGUAGGUAACCUGCCUGGUAGCGGGGGAUAACUAUUGGAAACGAUAGCUAAUACCGCAUAAUAGCAGUUGUUGCAUGACAACUGUUUGAAAGGUGCAAUUGCACCACUACCAGAUGGACCUGCGUUGUAUUAGCUAGUUGGUGGGGUAACGGCUCACCAAGGCGACGAUACAUAGCCGACCUGAGAGGGUGAUCGGCCACACUGGGACUGAGACACGGCCCAGACUCCUACGGGAGGCAGCAGUAGGGAAUCUUCGGCAAUGGACGGAAGUCUGACCGAGCAACGCCGCGGGAGUGAAGAAGGUUUUCGGAUCGUAAAGCUCUGUUGUAAGAGAAGAACGAGUGUGAGAGUGGAAAGUUCACACUGUGACGGUAUCUUACCAGAAAGGGACGGCUAACUACGUG